rnacentral:rRNA from 1 species
AACGAACGCUGGCGGCGCGCUUAAUACAUGCAAGUCGAACGAGAAGGUGUAGCAAUACACUUGUAAAGUGGCGAACGGGUGAGGAAUACAUGGGUAACCUACCCUCGAGUGGGGAACAACCAGCCGAAAGGUUGGCUAAUACCGCGUACGCUUCCGGGUCUUCGGAUUCGGAAGGAAAGUCAUACCGUGGGUAUGACGCUCAAGGAUGGGCUCAUGUCCUAUCAGCUUGUUGGUAGGGUAACGGCCUACCAAGGCUCCGACGGGUAGCUGGUCUGAGAGGACGAUCAGCCACACUGGCACUGCGACACGGGCCAGACUCCUACGGGAGGCAGCAGUAAGGAAUAUUGCGCAAUGGGCGAAAGCCUGACGCAGCGACGCCGCGUGGGGAUGAAGGUCUUCGGAUUGUAAACCCCUUUCGGGAGGGAAAAUGGAACGAGCAAUCGUUCGGUAGUGGUACCUCC